GUGUGUGUGUGUCCUUUGAUCCUGUUUGCAUGCACCUUAGUGCCACCAUCAUCCCACCCAACUAUGCCAACCAUUUCACAGUGCCAGGGCUGCCCGGGAUGCCUGCAAGGAGAGAGAGAAACCAGAGACUGACAGGGAGGUGCACAGAGAGAGAGAGAGAUGGAGGGGAGGGGUGGAGGGUGCGUUCCCAUGGCAACUGUGUUUUUGUUAGCGCUCGUGAGUCAGACAAGCAGUGAGUCACAGUCAGGAGGAAACACACACACACACACACAGUCACAUUCAUACGCUCCCACUCACUCAGAGAGAAGCCAAAUAAGGACAGCUACAUGCACAGAGAGGGAGACUGAGAAGGCAAAAAAAAAGAAAAGAAAAAAGAGAGGGGAACGAGACGAAUAAAUUGCUCAAAUCCAGAAAUAAUCAAGAGAAAGAAAAUAAAAAAAAUGAUAAAAAGCUACAAGCGGGUCCAGGUAAAUGAAGAAAAUACGAGGAGAACGAGGAUAGAAGAGUGCACAAAAGUGGAGAGAAGCAAAAAAAGAAAUAACUAAAAGCCAAAGGGCAUGAGCUGCAGGCACAUAACCUCUCCCCAGAGCACCCUUCACAUGGGCGGAGGCAGCGGAAACACACAUACAGACACACCCAGUUUGUGCACACCUUGGCUUAACUUGCUAAACCACCCAUUUAUUGUCUCACGGCUACACACCGAGGAAGGCCACCUGGUUAUGCACAACAAACUUUGCAUAAUCUGCAGGUCAAUGUACACUUUUAUUAUUUUUUCCUAACAAACUGAAAAAAGCGACACGUUUAGCAAAGCUUUUGACUUCAGAUCUCGUCGCGUAAUGAAAAUGAGUGAUUAAACCCGUGUUUCAUCAUCUUCUGUCCUCUGCGACCAGUCGACGUUCCCACGGCCUGUUGCGAUUUUUUUAUAGCCGUAUGGUCCUUUGGGUGGUAAACGUGACUAAAAAUUAUUUACACAAAGAAGGUGUUUGUGUAGGCAGUAGCAGAGCGUGGCUCACCCCCGUAUAAAAUGUGUGUUUUGACUACUAUUGACCCCUGCUGAGUAACAGAAAGUAGACCACCGCACACAAACGCACACAGAUCUCUUUUUUUUUUCUUCUUUCUGCACUGAUGUGUGCGCGUGUUUAUAAGCUGUCAUAAACGUUCACACACUGGAAGACCUAGCUGCUUCACAAAGCUGACUACCAUCUUCCACUCACGGGCUUUUUUUCUGGGGCUUUUUUUGUCCUCUCAGUUCAGUUCACCGACUUUUAAUGGUGUGAUAUACUACUGGAGCUUUUGUGUAAAUAGUGAAUGAAUGACUGCAUUUAGUAGUAUUUAAACAGAACAUGUGUGAUCAUUUAAACUCUUUAAAACAAACCGGGUGAAGGGAGGGAAAAAAAUGCAACUUUUCCCUUCUUUCUCUCUGCUCUAGUCUUUGACUGAAGUUCAGCUCAAGGCACUCUAUCAGAGCUCGUGUUGAUAACCUGUCAUGUCAGCUUUAUAACAGCAGAGAUAAGGCACUAGAUAUUUCAACUGUCCUCCAACUGCCAUGGGUUUGUUCAUUUUUUUCACAAUGUACACAAUAUUGUCAAAAGUAUUCACUCAUCUGCCUUCACACGCAUAUGAGCUUGAGUGACAUCCCAUUCUUAAUUCAUAGGGCUUAAUAUGAUUUCAGCCCUCUGGAACUAUAACAGCUUCAACUCUUCUGGGAAAGCUUUCAACAAUUUAAGGAGUGUGUUUAUGGGAAUUUUUCACCAUUCUUUCAGAAGCACAUUUGUGAGUUCAGACACUGAUGCUGGCUCAUCGACUCGGCUCUACUUCAACCCAAUGGUGUUCUUUUGGGUUGAGGUCAGGACUCUGUGCAGACCAGUCAAGUUCUUCUACACCAGACUCAAACCAAUACACAAAGCUUUGUGUAUUGGUGCGCAGUCAUGUUGGAAGAAGAAGGGGCCAUCCCCAAACUGUUCCCACAAAGUUGUGAGCAUGAAAUUGUCCAAAAUGUCUUGGUAUGCUGGAGCAUUAAAGGUUCUUUUCACUGGAACUAAGGGGCUGAGCCCAACUCCUGAAAAAUAUCUCCACACCAUAAUCCUCCCUCAACGAAGCUUUACACUUUGCACAAUGCACUCAGACAGCCACAGAAGUGACUGGAACACCUGAAUUCAAUGAUUUUAAUGUGGGGGAAUAUUUUGGGAAAUAUAGUGUGAGUACAAGAAGGUCAAAAAACAGCAAAGCCUAAACUAUAUUCUCACGUAUGUUUAAAAUUAAUUUCCUGUGCUUCUAUUGCAGGUGAGCAGCAGGUGGAGAACGUAAAAUGUAAGUGCUGUACUUGUAGAAAGGGUGGGGGUCAGAGGUCACUGCUGAGUGGGCAGGGUAUCUGGGAGCUAACGAGGGAGGGUAAAAUGUGUUGUGGAGCUGUGAAAGGGCGCAGGAGAAUGUGCACGCCUGUUAACGCACAAGUGAUUAAUGAGACGGAGGAAGCCAGUCGGCCCGUGUGUGUCACUCCAGAUGAUGUCAACGGUUGAGCAGAGGAACAGAAACAACCCCGUUGCUACAGACAGGCUUCCUCUCUCCUGCGCUGAAAAAUUAUGCGUUACACAUACAGUACGCCACAUUUCAUCAGUUCCUCAUACAGAGAAGGAACAGCACAUCCAUGAGGAAGGUUCACAGGUUUACUUUAUUCUCUAUAAUUAUUCCUGCCUUGAAGCAGUUUCGGCUUCCUCCUUUUUGCAGCCACAGUGGGCUUUCGUUAUUUCUGUCUUGAUUUUCUCAAUCAAGUCUCUGUGGCGGCUUGUCCUGUUAACGGUUGAUUAAAGUUCUGGUAGUCACACUCAAAGUAAGAGUCGCAGAAAUUCCCCUGUGAGUUUUUGGGGCCCUGGUUUCUCUUCUGAGGCUGCUCAAAGGUCACCUCUUGGUUUCACAGGUUAUCAGUCUAUGUUUUUGUCAGCUAAUAUUGACACGAUCGAGCUGACUUAAUCAAACAAGAAAUCAUGAAAUCAUAUAAAAUGACUCAUAGGAUGUUAUAACCCGAUUAUAGCAUUUCGUUCUCACUCUGCUGACUUAUUUGUGAUUCCUUAGUAUUUUAAAGUAGUAUGGGAGGAAGAGCCUUCAGUUUUCAGGGCCUUGUUCUGUGGAACCAGCGCCUAGUUUGGAGCCAGAAACCCUCUCUGCUUUUAAGAUUGGGCUUAAAACUUUCCUUUUUGAAUAAGCAUAUAGUUACAGCUGGAUCGUGUGAUACUGAAUCCUCCCUUAGUUACGGUGCAAUAGUCCUGGCUGCUGGGGGCUUCCCAUGAUUCAGUGUUUCUUCACCACUCACCUCUUUUAACUCUGUCUGUUUAUGAACCACUCUGCAUUUAAUCAUUAGUUAUUAUUAAUCUCUGGCUCUCUUCCACAGCAUGUCUUAUGCCUUAUCUCCCUCCCACUGUUCCCAAGUGCUUGCUCAUAGGGUGGGUUUUUUUAAGUUUGGGUUUUUCUCUGUAUUAUUGUAGGGCCUUUAAAACGCCUUCAGGUGAUCUGUUGGGAUUUGGUGCAAUAUAAAUUAAGCUGAAUUGAAUCGUUUUAGGACACGUCUAAUACAGCAGUUUCAGUUUGUUUGGGAUUUUUAUUAAUUUCUUCCUCUUUCUAUGCUUUAUGGUGUUUUAAUCAUAAAUGAAACCAAAGCCAUGAUUGUGGCUGUGGCCAGCACUAAUAUUGUUUUCCAUCUUCAUGGCCCCACCGACAAAUAGGUCAUUCAACCAUAUCUGCAUUUAAUCUUUUCUUCUCCCUUCAACUUGUUUUGCUCUGUCGCUCACUCCCAUGCUAUGAGCUCACUUCAAUAAAAUCCACCUCUGUUUCUUCUUCUCUGUUUAUGUGUCCUGAGAAUUCAACUGUCGACUGAGUUUUGACACCAGAAGCUGAACCCAGAGGGGUUGGCUGGGUGCAUGGAUGGAUGGAUGUCUAUCAGGGCCACACAGAAAAGUAUGGGGAAGUAGAAAGAACAGGAGAAAGGGGCAAAAAGAAAUCACAGCACACAAGAAAGUUAGGUAAGUUAAUGAACUGGUGUUGAGUAAAGAGACGACAAUGAGCAAGAGGGACAGCAGUCGAAGGAGGGGGGGAGGGAGAGGGCCAAAAGAAAGGCAAGCACAGAAGGCAGGGGGUUGUAAAGGUGGUCUUGGCAGCGUAUUUUUAGCACACUGAGUAGAAGAGGGCGGUAUCUUCUCAAGGGGUUUUUCCAGAGGAGUAUAUUUAGAGGCAGGGUGUGUAAAAAGACAGAGGGAGAACAGGAGGGAUGUGCACUGUACACUAAGGCCUGCCUGAUGUAAGAGUCUGCAAUAAGACCACACACAUUCCCUUUGUACUCUCUGUGCCACUGCCCUUCUCAUAUCUGCCUCUUCACCGUAUACGAAACACUUUACAGUACGCAAGCAGGCCACCGCCUCUGUAAGUCCCUUUCAGGCGUUCACUUAUGUUUUUCACUCUUGAACCCGCACGUCCUGGAGUCCUCUCACAAGCUCCAAAACACACAGUAAACACACGCAUUCUUGACCCAGUUUUUUAAAGCACGGGAGUAAGUUUCUCGACCUGCCUGCCUGUAGUCGGGCAGGUCGAGAUAUUUAAAACAGCCCAACAGCUUUUCAGCACAUCAACUAACACCAAGGCAUACCAGACACCGCAAAUCAGACAGCAAUUUUCCAAAUACUGAGGUAGCUAAUGUGGUAUAAAGUUGAAGGGAGAGCGGGAGACAGCUGAAAAAGCAAUGCUAAUAAUAAUGAGAGAAAUGAGAGAGACGGGAGAGAAAGAGAAGUGUGGUCUCUGUGUAUAGCUCUGCUAAGGAUAAUAGCAUGCAUGCUGGCUGAGGCAGACAGAGGGAGAGAGAGGAGGGGAGGGGAGGAGAGCGAGCGCAGAGCCGCAGUGACGCCAUUGUGGUUCCACAGCACUUCCUGUCUACCGCCACAGUGUUUGUGUGUCCUGUCUCCAGGGCAACUACCAAUACAUAAAUACCAGAGAGGUAGUAGGGAGAGAGAGAGACAGAGAAAGAGAGAGCAUAGGAAAGAGAAAAUCAGGACAGACCAGUCAAAGUCAAGUGGAUACAUUCGGAGCCUCUUAACUGACUGUUUUGAGCUCAGCUUAGAUGUGCUGGUGUGUUCAUGGACUUUAUGACCGAGUACUGGACCAGUUUCCAGGGAAUUGGUCCAGCAUGGAUGAGGUGUAGAAAAGCUAUGACCUCAAAUGUCCCAGGACUGGGUCAGGGUUGGAUGGGGGAAAAAAAAAAAGAGGCCAGGAAUGGGAGGAAAAUGCAUGAUGGCGCUAAUUCAGGGUGGAGAUGAUGAUGAUCAUGAUCAUGAUCAUGAUGAUGAUGAGAGCAAAAAAAAGAGUUGACAGGUUGAUUAAGGAGGUCACCUAUCAGCUGACAGGUUGCUGGUUCUCUAGCAACUACGCCAAUACUGCUGCAGAUCCAAGCAAUAUAUCUAUUUAUACGCAUUUCACAGUGUACCAGACUGUUUUAUUGACGUGAAAAGAAAAAUGUUAAAAACAGUCUUUGAAGUGCACGCUCCCUUAACCUCUGCAAGGGGAAAGCGCUCCGCUGUGUACUCCUCUUUGACUCCAAAAAUCACAUACUCCUUGUAUAACUCAGAUACAGAUGUUUGUGCACUUACAUGCAGUACCGCAGAUGUAAAAAUCCAGCAUGGAGCUGCAAAACAACUAUCACUUUUAUUACCUGCAUGAGCCAGAAGUAGCCAAUCAACAGCCAGCUGUGUUGUUGUUGUGCUGACACAUGCACACAGUAAAGGUAAUAAUUGCUUUAACUGUAAAGUGGGAGGCACAUCUACUCAUUAUUGUAGUGAAAGGUACAGGUGGGUGUACCUACAGAUACCAGUUUUCCACACUCAGCUUUGUGAAAGUUAUUCAUACACCGCGGGGUUCAUGCUAGCCGUAUUUGCAAUGGGAAUAUAGCAACAUAGCAAAUGUAAGCAUCAAGACAAGUGAUUUGGUACAGCUUUGGAAGGUAAAGAAACCUUUUUUUUUCAAUGAGUAGGUUUAGUCUUACUUCACAGUACCCGCUUCUCCUUCUCCUUCUUCUGCUUGUUAACUUAAUUGCUAAUGGUAGCACACUACCAUGCUCUCAAGUGAUAAUUUGCAGAUGUUUGGCACGUCUAAUAUUUGUGUUUAUGCCGUUUGAGAGCAUGUUAGCAGGCUAAAAUCUGAGCUCCAUGAGAGAGAGAGAGAGCUUGCCGUCAUUGCUCUUCUAGCAAGCCCUACUACUAGCAAUGUUGGCACUGUUUUAAAGAAAGCUGCUGUGGAAAACUGUGCCAGCAGCUAGCUCGCAUUACCAGUCAGCUUUAUCGCCACAACUUUUCUCCAAGCUGGGCAGAGUUAGAGAAGAAGAAGAGGUAGACUGAGGAUUGAAGGACAUACAGGAGAAAGGACAAAGCUAUGAUUACGAAUCACGUAACAGAAAACACUUGAGGCAAUUAGGUUUUACAGAUGCGCUCAUUUUUAUUGGAGUAAAAUUUUCUUGAAAAUCUUAAUGCAACAUUGCAGUGUUAUUUGUUCUGCAGUAACAAAAACAAGGGUAGAGCGACUGAUUUAAAAGGCCUGGGGGGCUUUGGCACCAAUAAGGCAGGCUGAAUGACAUUUAGGCUUGGGUACGCUAAUCAUUAAAAUCAGUCAUCAGAUUGCAAUGUUUGUUGCAACAAGCAAUAUCUGGAAGAGGCUAAUCACUAUGGUAAAGUAUAUCAAUAUCAUCUUCUUAUAAUCUCUGUUCAGAGGGCAGAAAGUCGUUUGCCUUAUACUUGAUGACAGCAUUGUUUAGGCAGAUUUAAAAAGGACUCAACAAAAGUAUUAUUUCAUGUAGUGAAGGGAGGAUGGAUUGUUUCAAAUCCUUGGGCUGGCUCUUGACAUGCAAAGGCAAUAAAGUCAAGGUCGUGAUGCCCUUGGGGAAAGCAUUUGCAGGGCCCAGUUUCCAAGAACAGAAGAAUAGUUUUAAAACUUAAACAAAUCGGUGAAUGCGUAUCUCUUUCUGCAGAACCUGCUGCCGUUCACAGGAAUGUGCCCUUAGCCAAUGUGUCUGGUUAAAUAAGGGUAACGCUGAUACCUCUCAGAUCAGCUGGCACGGCAAGCGGCUUUUUCUCCCAAGUCUCCUGAAUAUCUGUCUCUCUCCAAAACCAUUUUCCGCUGCCUGUUGCAUAAUUGGAUCUAACUCACCAUGACAACCAAAUGGAUGUUGAUUUUUUUUCUUUUUCCCAGACCCCGCGGCCCAGAUUAGAGUCGCUUACUGUCGUCUGACUCACCGGUGAAGAUGAUCGCUCAGCUGAACGUCCGCUGUGACCCAUCAACACAAGUACACACUGUUCAUCCGCAAUAAAAAAAAAAGUGAUUUUUAUAGAGGCUUACUGAAUGCGCCAGAAAAUAUGAAAAACAUACAAGCCGUCCAAGAACACACACAGAAAUACAUGUUUUCCCUGAGCUGGGACACCAAAGCAGACCAAAGUGUGGAGAAUAUUUUUCAAUGAACUACUAUUCAGUGACUACUAUAACUAAAAAUGACACAGCUCAACCAUGACUCCACAGAAGUGCCCACAACCCUCACAGGAUUUCUGCAGGCCACAGUGAAGUUAGAUUUUUUUUUGCAACAUGUAAUCUCCAACUGUACAAAAAACAGAAAUGGGAAUUCACACCACCUCGGCCACAGUUAUCUUUCGAAAAUGGACUGAUAUAUGUUGAAAUAUAGACAUAUGCAAACAUGUACAAAUGUUGGAUUCCAUUUCCCAGAACCAUAAAGUACAGAGUAUGGCCUUGGAGUGGAGAAGACGCAUCGUUUUCCAAAUACCACAAUCCUCACCGUCAGCAGGAAAAGCUCGAGAACGUUACGCACCAGAGUGUUCUCAUUAAUGUGUGCAGAAGCUUUGAGAGAGCAUCGGUUUCAUAUCUUUCCUCUGUUCUGUUCAUAUUUUAGACAGACUGAAAGAAGUGCUACCAGCCUGAACUUAAGAGUGGCACAUCUCUGUUUCAAUUCUGUGUUAUCUCAGUCAUUACAGUAUUUGGUUUGCGUGUGGCAGCGCUCAUUGCCGUGCCUGUGAAGCAAAGCAAAAGAGGAGUGUGCACGGCACGCAUAGUGGUUUAGACCACAAAAUAAAGAUGAAACUCAUCGCUUAAAAGAGCACGUUAACAAUAUUCAUCUCUCAGUUCACCACCUCAGAGAGGCCGUUUUUUGGUUUUUUUUGCUUGCUUGACACAAGCAGGUCAUCAUUUUAUAAGAAGAGUAGGAAAGGAGAAGAAAAAGAUAGAGCUCCAUCAUCAUCAACACAAGUUUACACAUACCCGUAUGUAAUCUUUGAUAGCUAUCAAUCAAAAGUUAAGGCCCUCAUUAAAACCUUUUGGCUCUUGUGCAAAGCUGUAAAUCCCCUUACGAAGACAACAUAGAAACUGAGGUCCGCAAACAAAACAUUAUCCCAUCCGAAGAUAAACGAUGUGUCGCAGGCGGUCACAUGUCUUACUGGCACAGUCAUUUCGCUAAGCUUGAGUGUAUGCGUUGCCUAGAGACGCGUAUGUGUGUGUGGAAUGUGUGACGUCUGAUCUCGCACAGGGGCGUGGCUCUCUGUACAGAACUUUGCUACUCUCACGCACACACACCCAAAGGCUUCAGGGGAAGUUGUAAAGCUUCUAAUAGCCCCUCUCAGAAGCUCAUGUUACUGCCCCAGUGUUGCCUGGAGGGUUGGUUGGGUGGGGUGGGGGUCCUACGCUUGACAGGUGGAGAUGAAAAUCAAACGCUUCCAAAGACCCGAAAGUUACAAAGACAACGAUUUUAAACAGAUUGUAAGCCAGCAUGAGUGAUUUAAGUCGUUUUUCAAUGCUUUAUUGAUUAUCUGACGUGUCGUAAUUGCUGAUCCAAAGAUCUCUCUCAGUUUGAUCUUUAUGUACCAAAUGGAGCGUGUAGGGGAGGGAAAAAUAUCAGCCAUGUUUUGCCAUUUGCUAAGAUUGCUGUGAUCCUCCAUAAAAUCUGUUUAGUGCCUCAGGGUUAAUAGUUUUAUGACCUCAACAGACACUUUUUCAGCUUUGACGUCUCUGAUCUGAAAUCCACAACAUGCACGGCUUUGAUCUGACUUUUAAACACUCAGUUUAAAGACUUUUUAACAAGUGUGUCUAACCUCAUUAAUGUCACAUUUAACUUUCUUUUAUUUCUUUAUAUUUAAUUUCUUUUUUUCGGUUAAUAUGGUUAAUAUCUGCUUAUAUGGGGAUGAGUAUAGACAUGCACUCUUUUUUCUUAAAUUGACAUAAAUGGGCAAAAGUAGCAAACUCGUCUCAGUGUACAUUUAGCUUCUUCCUGUCUGCUACUGACACAAACAGCCCUUGCUCAUUUAUUAGCAGCUGUGCAGCCAAUUAUCUCCCUGCCCCCUUUCCUGUGUUCUACCAGCAGCUUCGGCCAUGCACAGGGGAGGAGAGGUAGGGAGGCAGGCAAAGGGGGGAGGAGAGGAGAGAGAGAGAGAAGGGGAGUGUUCCUCUCCUCUGACAUCGUCAUAAAGGAAUCCCCUCUGCUAGGCUGAGCCCGCCUACUUGCUUACUCUCACCCCGUCUGGCUCCCAGACACACUCGCGUUCACACACACUCCUGUCUGCACGGCCAAAGCAGGAACGGACUGACAAGGAAAAAAGGACAAAGAGUGGGAGACGCUGAGACGUUGCGAGAGAGACGGUAGAUGGGAUGGGGACUGUGAAGGUCAACUUUUAGAGUGUGACAUUGAAGAGCGUGAAGAACAAGAGGGAGAGGAAAAGGAGUAAAAACUGUUGUCUCAGAGGGGCAAUUCAGCAGUUCCUGCAACCUGUUGAUCAGGACGGGACGUUCACACAGAGUCGGAG